CUUAGCUUUUCUCCUAUGGACUAUGGAGUCACGGAGAGCCAUAUCCACCAGACCUCUCUCUAAGUCCAAACGACUUCAAAGUUAAAACUUCAAAUUCAUCCAAGGGAUAACUUCUUGAUAGUAAUCAAACAUGCCGCAUAGAACCCGACCUAUGACAGCCCUUUUGGUAUUUACUGGACUCAAUGUCUUUCUAGUUUCAACCAUUACUCCUGUCUAUGAUUUCGUGUGCUUCCUUCCUUACUGGGAAAGAAGGAGAGAACAACAUCGUCAACAACAGGAAGUUGCUUUAGCAAAGGGGUUUGAAUCAAAAUAAAAUGAUCUAUGUGCUGAAGAGAAGGAUAGGAAGACAGGAGAAGCUUUAUAUGAGUACCUAUUGAUUUUCUCAUUUAUAUUCUGUGGCUGUAGAUUUUAGCAUUGGGAUAUGUGUAGAUAGAACACCAAAGAUUUGGAAGAAAUUAUGAUCGAUCUGUCUCAAGUAAAUUAUUCUCUGUUUCAUCUAGGCUUUGAUAUACUUGAUAGUCUAGAUUUUCACUCAA